rnacentral:lncRNA from 1 species
CUGCGGGGGGUGGGGUUUGCCAAGCUGUGUCUGGGAGGCUGGGCCCAGAGGGGUCGACCAGCGCCAGGUGGCUGCUCUCGCUUCCAGGUGGAGCAUCUGCGGCUGAAGGACCCUCACGCCGAGAUCCAUGAGCAAGAAACACAUCAAAAAGCUGAUUGCUGGGGAUCCCUGGGUGGAUCAGCAGUUUGGCGCCUGCCUUUGGUCCAGGGUGUGAUCGUGGAGUCCCGGGAUCAAAUCCCACAUCAGGCUCCAUGCAUGGAGCCUGCUUCUCCCUCUGCCUGUGUCUCUGCCUCUCUCUCUCUCUCAGUCUGUGUCUCUCAUGAAUAAAUAAAUAAAAUAUUUAAAAAAAAAAAAAGCUGAUUGCUGACAGCGAGCCUCUCAGCUUACAAACUCCUCUUGAGAGUCAAGCGGGGGCGGGGGAGGGGGCCGGGGAAUUAAAGACCUUUGGCCAAGGGAGAAGGAUCUAGGAAAAACGUGACCGACAGAAAUCUGUCCCCAGCUUCUUUGGUCGAAGCUCUGUGACCUGUGGGCAAAUAUUCCCUGCCCGAGACAUAAUCAUUGUAGAAGAAGAAAGAACAUCUGUGGAAAUGAGCUCAUCUGCAAAGAUUGUCCUGAAGUUGUUGAGGAAGUUAACACCAAAGACUCAAGAAAUCCGUCACUACAAAAAGCCAAAUGUUUUUGUGCAUCAAGGGUUUUAAGAGUUUAUUUAUUUGAGGGAUCCCUGGGUGGCGCAGUGGUUUAGCGCCUGCCUUUGGCCCAGGGCGCGAUCCUGGAGACCUGGGAUCGAAUCCCACGUCGGGCUCCCGGUGUAUGGAGCCUGCUUCUCCCUCUGCCUAUGUCUCUGCCUCUCUCUCUCUCUGUGACUAUCAUAAAUAAAUAAAAAAUUUUAAAAAAAGAGUUUAUUUAUUUGAGAGACAGAGAGAUAGAGUGAGUGUGUGCACAGAGGGAGAGGGAGAAGCAGACUCCCCCCCCCCCCCAGCAGGGAGCCUGAUGCAGGGCUUGAUCUCAGGACCCUGACAUCAUGACCUGAGCUGAAGGCAGACACUUAAACUACUGAGCCACCCAGGUGCCCCAUGUCAAGAUUUUUAUCUGUGAGAUGCUUGAGGCCCAGGAG